rnacentral:rRNA from 1 species
GAUGAACGCUGGCGGCGUGCCUAAUACAUGCAAGUCGAGCGAACAGACGAGGAGCUUGCUCCUCUGACGUUAGCGGCGGACGGGUGAGUAACACGUGGAUAACCUAUCUAUAAGACUGGGAUAACUUCGGGAAACCGGAGCUAAUACCGGAUAAUAUAUUGCACCGCAUGGUUCAAUAGUGAAAGACGGUUUUGCUGUUACUUAUAGAUGGAUCCGCGCCGCAUUAGCAAGUUGGUAAGGUAACGGCUUACCAAGGCAGCGAUGCGUAGCCGCCCUGAGAGGGUGAUCGGACACACGGGAAGUGAGACACGGUCCAGACUCUGAGGGGGGGAAGCAGUAGGGAAUCUUCCGCAAUGGGCGAAAGCUUGACAGAGCAACGCCGCGUGAGUGAUGAAGGUCUUCGGAUCGUAAAACUCUGUUAUUAGGAAAGAACAAAUGUGUAUGUAACUAUGCACGUCUUGACGGUACCUAAUCAGAAAGCCACGGCUAACUACGUG